UACGUAGGGUGCAAGCGUUGUCCGGAUUUAUUGGGCGUAAAGAGCUCGUAGGCGGUCUGUCGCGUCGGAUGUGAAAACCCAGGGCUCAACCCUGGGCCUGCAUUCGAUACGGGCAGACUAGAGUACGGCAGGGGAGACUGGAAUUCCUGGUGUAGCGGUGAAAUGCGCAGAUAUCAGGAGGAACACCGGUGGCGAAGGCGGGUCUCUGGGCCGAUACUGACGCUGGAGGAGCGAAAGCAUGGGUAGCGAACAGG
rnacentral:rRNA from 1 species